rnacentral:rRNA from 1 species
AGAGUUUGAUCCUGGCUCAGAUUGAACGCUGGCGGAAUGCUUUACACAUGCAAGUCGAGCGGCAGCGCGGGGGCAACCCUGGCGGCGAGCGGCGAACGGGUGAGUAAUACAUCGGAACGUGUCCUUAAGUGGGGGAUAGCUCGGCGAAAGCCGGAUUAAUACCGCAUAAGCUCUGAGGAGGAAAGCGGGGGAUUCGCAAGGACCUCGCGCUGUUGGAGCGGCCGAUGUCGGAUUAGCUAGUUGGUGGGGUAAAGGCCCACCAAGGCGACGAUCCGUAGCUGGUCUGAGAGGAUGAUCAGCCACACUGGAACUGAGACACGGUCCAGACUCCUACGGGAGGCAGCAGUGGGGAAUUUUGGACAAUGGGGGCAACCCUGAUCCAGCCAUUCCGCGUGAGUGAAGAAGGCCUUCGGGUUGUAAAGCUCUUUCGGACGGAACGAAAUGGUUACGGCUAAUACCUGUGACUGAUGACGGUACCGUAAGAAGAAGCACCGGCUAACUACGUGCCAGCAGCCGCGGUAAUAC